rnacentral:rRNA from 1 species
GGUAUGUAAAGCUCUAUCAGCAGGGAAGAUAAUGACGGUACCUGACUAAGAAGCCCCGGCUAACUACGUGCCAGCAGCCGCGGUAAUACGUAGGGGGCAAGCGUUAUCCGGAUUUACUGGGUGUAAAGGGAGCGUAGACGGCAUGGCAAGUCUGAAGUGAAAACCCAGGGCUCAACCCUGGGACUGCUUUGGAAACUGUCAAGCUAGAGUGCAGGAGAGGUAAGUGGAAUUCCUAGUGUAGCGGUGAAAUGCGUAGAUAUUAGGAGGAACACCAGUGGCGAAGGCGGCUUACUGGACUGUAACUGACGUUGAGGCUCGAAAGCGUGGGGAGCAAACAGGAUUAGAUACCCUGGUAGUCCACGCCGUAAA